rnacentral:rRNA from 1 species
CUUGUAGGCGGUUUGUCGCGUCUGCUGUGAAAAUCCGGGGCUCAACCCCGGACUUGCAGUGGGUACGGACAGACUAGAGUGUGGUAGGGGAGACUGGAAUUCCUGGUGUAGCGGUGGAAUGCGCAGAUAUCAGGAGGAACACCGAUGGCGAAGGCAGGUCUCUGGGCCAUUACUGACGCUGAGAAGCGAAAGCAUGGGGAGCAAACA